GAGUCGGUAGCUCAGUGGUAGAGCAUCGGCCUUUUAAGCCGUGGGCCGUGGGUUCGAAUCCCACCCGACUCACCA
rnacentral:tRNA from 1 species